rnacentral:rRNA from 1 species
CGGUAGCUAAAUGCGGAAGAGAUAAGUGCUGAAAGCAUCUAAGCACGAAACUUGCCCCGAGAUGAGUUCUCCCUGAGACUUUAGAUCUCCUGAAGGAACGUUGAAGACGACGACGUUGAUAGGCCGGGUGUGUAAGCGCAGCGAUGCGUUGAGCUAACCGGUACUAAUGAACCGUGAGGCUUAACCUUACAACGCCGAAG